rnacentral:rRNA from 1 species
GAUGAACGCUGGCGGCGUGCCUAAUACAUGCAAGUCGAGCGAACAGACGAGGAGCUUGCUCCUCUGACGUUAGCGGCGGACGGGUGAGUAACACGUGGAUAACCUACCUAUAAGACUGGGAUAACUUCGGGAAACCGGAGCUAAUACCGGAUAAUAUAUUGAACCGCAUGGUUCAAUAGUGAAAGACGGUUUUGCUGUCACUUAUAGAUGGAUCCGCGCCGCAUUAGCUAGUUGGUAAGGUAACGGCUUACCAAGGCGACGAUGCGUAGCCGACCUGAGAGGGUGAUCGGCCACACUGGAACGGAGACACGGUCCAGACUCCUACGGGAGGCAGCAGUAGGGAAUCUGCCGCAAUGGGCGAAAGCCUGACGGAGCAACGCCGCGUGAGUGAUGAAGGUCUUCGGAUCGUAAAACUCUGUUAUUAGGGAAGAACAAAUGUGUAAGUAACUAUGCACGUCUUGACGGUACCUAAUCAGAAAGCCACGGCUAACUACGUG